UAUAACGGUCCUAAGGUAGCGAAAUUCCUUGUCGGGUAAGUUCCGACCUGCACGAAUGGCGUAAUGAUGGCCAGGCUGUCUCCACCCGAGACUCAGUGAAAUUGAACUCGCUGUGAAGAUGCAGUGUACCCGCGGCAAGACGGAAAGACCCCGUGAACCUUUACUAUAGCUUGACACUGAACAUUGAGCCUUGAUGUGUAGGAUAGGUGGGAGGCUUUGAAGUGUGGACGCCAGUCUGCAUGGAGCCGGCCUUGAAAUACCACCCUUUAAUGUUUGAUGUUCUAACGUGGACCCGUGAUCCGGGUUGCGGACAGUGUCUGGUGGGUAGUUUGACUGGGGCGGUCUCCUCCUAAAGAGUAACGGAGGAGCACGAAGGUUGGCUAAUCCUGGUCGGACAUCAGGAGGUUAGUGCAAUGGCAUAAGCCAGCUUGACUGCGAGCGUGACGGCGCGAGCAGGUGCGAAAGCAGGUCAUAGUGAUCCGGUGGUUCUGAAUGGAAGGGCCAUCGCUCAACGGAUAAAAGGUACUCCGGGGAUAACAGGCUGAUACCGCCCAAGAGUUCAUAUCGACGGCGGUGUUUGGCACCUCGAUGUCGGCUCAUCACAUCCUGGGGCUGAAGUAGGUCCCAAGGGUAUGGCUGUUCGCCAUUUAAAGUGGUACGCGAGCUGGGUUUAGAACGUCGUGAGACAGUUCGGUCCCUAUCUGCCGUGGGCGCUGGAGAACUGAGGGGGGCUGCUCCUAGUACGAGAGGACCGGAGUGGACGCAUCACUGGUGUUCGGGUUGUCAUGCCAAUGGCACUGCCCGGUAGCUAAAUGCGGAAGAGAUAAGUGCUGAAAGCAUCUAAGCACGAAACUUGCCCCGA
rnacentral:rRNA from 1 species